CCUACGGGGGGCUGCAGUGGGGGAUAUUGCACAAUGGGGGAAACCCUGAUGCAGCGACGCCGCGUGGGUGAAGAAGCGCCUCGGCGCGUAAAGCCCUGUCAGCAGGGAAGAAAAUGACGGUACCUGAAGAAGAAGCCCCGGCUAACUACGUGCCAGCAGCCGCGGUAAUACGUAGGGGGCAAGCGUUAUCCGGAUUUACUGGGUGUAAAGGGGGCGCAGACGGCGAUGCAAGCCAGGAGUGAAAGCCCGGGGCUCAACCCCGGGACUGCUCUUGGAACGGCGUGGCUGGAGUGCAGGAGGGGGAGGGGGAAUUCCUGGUGUAGCGGUGAAAUGCGGAGAUAUCAGGAGGAACACCGGUGGCGAAGGCGGCGUGCUGGACUGCAACUGACGUUGAGGCACGAAAGCGUGGGGAGCAAACAGGAUUAGAUACCCUGGUAGUC
rnacentral:rRNA from 1 species